GUAGGUGGCAAGCGUUGUCCGGAAUUAUUGGGCGUAAAGCGCGCGCAGGCGGUUCUUUAAGUCUGAUGUGAAAGCCCACGGGCUCAACCGUGGAGGGUCAUUGGAAACUGGAGAACUUGAGUACAGAAGAGGAAAGCGGAAUUCCACGUGUAGCGGUGAAAUGCGUAGAGAUGUGGAGGAACACCAGUGGCGAAGGCGGCUUUCUGGUCUGUAACUGACGCUGAGGCGCGAAAGCGUGGGGAGGCAAACAGGAUUAGAUACCCUGGUAGUCCACGCCGUAAACGAUGAGUGCUAAGUGUUAGGGGGUUUCCGCCCCUUAGUGCUGCAGCUAACGCAUUAAGCACUCCGCCUGGGGAGUACGGCCGCAAAGGCUG
rnacentral:rRNA from 1 species